CGAAGAUUUGGAGGCCUCCGGAGGCCUCAGCCGCUUAACGUCGUUUUCGUCGAUGUCUGUGCGCCGCGUGGUGUUGCUAGAUCGCGUGUGGACUAUGCGGUGCUCAGUCGUCGAAUCGCGCUGGCAGGCUCCGACCGCUCGAUUGAACUGCAUCAUCACAAGUUCUGAAACGCGUGUACAGGUGCGUUGUUCUUGCCUCGCGAACAAAUCGACACACCGCGGCUCGUGGCAUCCUCCAACCCCUCGCCUUCUCCAUGCCUCCCCUUGCGAGUCACAACCAUCCUUGACACGCGAUCAAAUCCAGUGCUAAACAAGCCUCGCCUCCUCCGCUCGCCUUCCGCGCCAUUGGUAGCUUCCUCCAACCUGCCGACGCUAGCGUCCUGCUCCGCCGUGUGCCUUGAAGACACUCCCAUGGCCACCGGCGUCCUCCUCCGACCACAUGCCAAUCCUGUCCCCAACCCUGACGAAACGGCCAGUGGCGGCGAUGCGGCCAACCCGCCUGCUACCUUUCUCUCCUCAGCCCCUCAUUUUGGAAUGGAAGACGACGGCUGCGAUGGCCUCGAUUUCAGUCUUCCCCGCCCGCCGUGGAGGGCUCCGCCUCCGGAUCUGGCACCACCACGUCCUCCAUCUCUUAUCUGAGUUGCCUAAAACCGGCUGCCACGAUCCGGAACGCGAGGGCUCUGAUGGAAGGAACGACGUCGUUCCAAACUAGAGCCUCAAAACAGAUGAGUCUUAAUUUCAACAACGGGUCGCACAGGGAUGCUUGAUUUAGCGCCUGAAGGCUGCGAGCCCCCGCACAAUCAAUGUGCUUUGGAACAAAUGUCGUGGCUCUGUGUCUGCCUUAUCAAUGCUAUGUUUAUUCAGGUAUGCUGAUUGAGGCUUCCACCAAAUUAUGCCGAGUACCAGGGGAAAUAUGCUAUUAUCUAUGUGUAUCGCUACAGUUUCAUUCAUCUCCUACGUUGCCUUAAAGGAUUAUACAGAACUUUCACAUGUUCUUUGCAGAUCAAGAUAAGAGGUACGAAGAUAUCAUUCCAUUCCUACUUUAUCAUAUGAUAUACAUUGCAUAGUCUCCUUAGAAUUUCUUUGUAAAACAUUGUGUCUGCCUACCUCUCUUUCAGAUUGCAUACAAGAAUUUUGUCGACAACUAAAGUUUUGGAAAUAAUCCGUUCAGACAUGACAGCAAUCAACUUAAGUAUAUUAUUUUAGUUUGCACAAAAUUUCCAAGCCAUAUGGGUCAUUUGAGUUUGUCCAGAUACAAGGGAUUAAAAUGAAUUGUCAUUUUAAUUCAAGUUAUUGUAUGAACAUAGCCCCUAAUAUGGUUUUAGAAGAAGCAAACAAUGAUUAACAUUGCAGGACACCAAGGUCCAGUUCAAUAGCAUCUUUAAGGAUGGAAUGGGCAGCCUGGAAUCACACUCACUUUUUGUCACUUUUCAUUCUAAUAGAUUCAGAUGUUUUUUAGCAAAAAAAAACCCUGAAAUUUGCCUCGCAUUGUCUAAGAAUGUUGACAUGUAUCUAGCAAUGAUAUGGUUACCAGAAACAAGCACAAACAUAUUUCGACCAUGGUUAGUGGUUGUCGUUGUGCUAUUCUUUUUUCAUUAUAGGAAAACAUUUUCUGCACAUCUUAAUGCAAUUUGGUUCAUACUGGCUUGAGAUAAAGAGGUGAUCUUCUCAAUUAGUCCUUACAUUAGGUGGCACUACUCUCUUUAAUGAGUCUGGAUGUAGCAUCAACCAAGAAGUUUUUAAAUAAAAAACUGCAGUUGCAAUCGACAAGUUGAUAAAAUUCACAUCCCUAGAUCUAUAGACUCUAAAGUUUGCAGGUUUUAGUAUUUAUCUAUAUUCCAGCUACAACUGAGAUGUGAACAACCAUUGUGUGUCGUGUAUGGCUCACCUAGAUUGUUCUUGCAAAUCUUUAUGUAAUUCCAUUGAUUACACGUCUAUUCUGAUAUCAUUAGUGUUUUUGUUGUAGCCUGGUGCGUACCUUAUCUACCCAUCUAUUUGUGUUGUGGCUUAAGAUUUUCAAACUCCAUUAUACUCUUAUUCUGCACACUUUUGGUUAUAUACGAAUUUAACUUCUGCUACCUUUCUGUAGCAAGCACAGAUAGUAGUUGGUGUAUUUCUUUUCAUAAUGGUAUGUAUAAUAUUUUUUUCUCAUCUCAGUCUGAUCCUUCUUUUUCUUUACUUAUUUUCCAGGCGUUGGUUGUUCCGAUUGCUCUGCUAAGGAAAUUGAUUUUACCUGAAACCUGAAAAGCAUGCAUGCAUGCCUGCUAACCAGCGGUACCAUCAUUAAGAACACCUAUUGUUCAUUGCAUUAUCGUAUUCUGGGGACUGCUUAUCACAUCUCCAAUAAUGAUUUCUCAUCUUUUGUACUGUUAUUCAUCAUUUAGUGAUAAAAAUUAGACCAACUGGGAGUCUGGGAUGCUCAUUCUCAAGUGGAGACCGUACCAAUUGCACAAUACCCCUCUUCACACAGCAAUGUCUUUUAAAGAUUGGUACCAGGAAAGUGCUAUGAUUUUAGCUGAUUGUUAUAAUGUGUCCUGACAACUGAUUUUGUUUCUUGGGGUUUUCUCCUUUCCUGCUUCAGACUUUUUAGCAUGAUUCGGCAAUCCAUGUCCCUUGCAUAAAAUUAGGUGCCUUUACAAACUCUCACCAGUCACAUUUUUACAUUAGAACACUCAUUUCUUAUGUAUAAUUCUAUUUUUAUGUUUUCUAUUUAUGGAUAUCCUGUAAUUUGUUGGACUAAAAGGUAUAGUGGACAUAAAUUAUGUACCCUUUAUAUUACUGAAUGAUUUGACAAGUGGGAUACUUUUUUCCUCCCUUA